CCGGUAAUUCCAGCUCCAAUAGCGUAUAUUAAAGUUGUUGCAGUUAAAAAGCUCGUAGUUGAACUUUGAGCCUGGGCGGACGGUCUACCUAUGGUAAGCACUGUUGCGGCCGGGUCUUUCCUUCUGGCUAGCCCUCGGGCGAACCAGGACGAUUACUUUGAGGAAAUUAGAGUGUUCAAAGCAGGCCUUUGCUCGGAUAUAUUAGCAUGGAAUAAUAGAAUAGGACGCAUGGUUCUAUUUUGUUGGUUUCUAGGACCAUCGUAAUGAUUAAUAGGGACGGUCGGGGGCAUCAGUAUUCAGUCGUCAGAGGUGAAAUUCUUGGAUUGACUGAAGACUAACUACU
rnacentral:sRNA from 1 species